GACGAACGCUGGCGGCGUGCUUAACACAUGCAAGUCGAACGCUGAAGCUUGGUGCUUGCACUGGGUGGAUGAGUGGCGAACGGGUGAGUAAUACGUGAGUAACCUGCCCUUGACUCUGUGAUAAGCCUGGGAAACUGGUUCUAAUACUUGAUACGACAUGCCACUGCAUGGUGGUGUGUGGAAAGGGUUUUACUGGUUUUGGAUGGGCUCACGGCCUAUCAGCUUGUUGGUGGGGUAAUGGCCUACCAAGGCGACGACGGGUAGCCGGCCUGAGAGGGUGACCGGCCACACUGGGACUGAGACACGGCCCAGACUCCUACGGGAGGCAGCAGUGGGGAAUAUUGCACAAUGGGCGGAAGCCUGAUGCAGCGACGCCGCGUGAGGGAUGACGGCCUUCGGGUUGUAAACCUCUUUCAGCACGGAAGAAGCGAGAGUGACGGUACGUGCAGAAGAAGCGCCGGCUAACUACGUG
rnacentral:rRNA from 1 species